rnacentral:rRNA from 1 species
UACGAAGGGGGCUAGCGUUGUUCGGAAUACUGGGCGUAAAGCGUGCGCAGGCGGUUUUGUAAGUCUGUCGUGAAAUCCCCGGGCUCAACCUGGGAAUUGCGAUGGAGACUGCAAGGCUAGAAUCUGGCAGAGGGGGGUAGAAUUCCACGUGUAGCAGUGAAAUGCGUAGAGAUGUGGAGGAACACCGAUGGCGAAGGCAGCCCCCUGGGUCAAGAUUGACGCUCAUGCACGAAAGGCGUGGGGAGCGAACAGG